AACAAACGCUGGCGGCGUGCAUAACACAUGCAAGUCUAAAGGGAAAGCGGGCUUCGGUCUGCAAGUACCUUGGCGCACGGGUGAGUAACACGUGGGUAAUUUGCCUUUGGGCGGGGGAUAACCUUGCGAAAGCGAGGCUAAUACCGCGUAAGACCACGAUCGGUUCGCCGGUCGCGGUAAAAGGGGGCCUUUCGGGGCUCUCGCCUGAAGAUGAGCCCGCGGCCUAUUAGCUAGUUGGCGGGGUAACGGCCCACCAAGGCGACGAUGGGUAACCGGCCUGAGAGGGUGUACGGUCACACUGGCACUGAGACACGGGCCAGACUCCUACGGGAGGCAGCAGUGGGGAAUUUUGCGCAAUGGGGGAAACCCUGACGCAGCAACGCCGCGUGAGUGAUGAAGGCCUUCGGGUCGUAAAGCUCUUUUAGUGGGGAAGAAAUCCCAUGGUUACGCCAUGGGUCUGACGGUACCCACAGAAAAAGUUCCGGCUAACUACGUGCCAGCCGCCGCGGUAACAC
rnacentral:rRNA from 1 species